GCCACGGUGGUCUAGCGGUUAGAACGCUGGCCUUGUAAUCCUGGGGUCUCGAGUUCGAUUCCCGGCGGUGCCC
rfam:Zootermopsis nevadensis contig7610, whole genome shotgun sequence.